rnacentral:rRNA from 1 species
UACGAAGGGUGCUAGCGUUGUUCGGAAUUACUGGGCGUAAAGGGCGCGUAGGCGGUGUGUCAAGUCAGGCGUGAAAGCCCCGGGCUCAACCUGGGAACAGCGCUUGAGACUGGCACGCUCGAGUUCGGGAGAGGAUGGUGGAAUUCCCAGUGUAGAGGUGAAAUUCGUAGAUAUUGGGAAGAACACCGAUGGCGAAGGCAGCCAUCUGGACAGACACUGACGCUGAGGCGCGAAAGCGUGGGGAGCAAACAGG